rnacentral:lncRNA from 1 species
GUUCCAGGUCGACGGGUUCACACAGAAAGAGUUUGAAAGCAGAGAAAACUGUGUAUCUUAUAAUCUGAAUGACUUUAUCAGAUGACAAUACCAAUACUAAAAUAAGCCUUAUGCAUAGUUAUAUACCUUAAUUCAGUCACGAACCCGUGAUAUCAUAGGUGUGUUCUAGUAUCAACAAAAAAACUAACCUGCACAUGCAGCAGUCGAAAAGAACUUUCCUAUUGGCAAGAAACUAAUAGUUUUUUUCAUUUCCACGUAAACUGGACUUAACCUUGACAAGACAUUUGAUGUAAAAAUGGAAUGUCUGUAAGGAUAAAACAAUUAGACUCCCACCUUACACAUGUGGAGGGAGAAACUAUACUUUUAC